CCUACGGGUGGCAGCAGUGAGGAAUAUUGGUCAAUGGACGAGAGUCUGAACCAGCCAAGUAGCGUGAGGGAUGAAUGCCCUAUGGGUUGUAAGCUUCUUUUAUAUGGGAGUAAAAUGCUCCACGUGUGGAAUUUUGUAUGUCCCAUAUGAAUACGGAUGGGCUAACUCCGUGCCAGCAGCAGCGGUAGUACGGAGGAUCCGGGCGUUAUCCGGGUUUAUUGGGUUUAAAGGGAGUGUAGGUGGGUUGUUAAGUCAGUUGUGAAAGUUUGCGGCUCAACCGUAAAAUUGCAGUUGAAACUGGCAGUCUUGAGUACAGGAGAGGUCGGCGGAAUUCGUGGUGUAGCGGUGAAAUGCGUAGAUAUAACGAAGAACUCCGAUUGCGAAGGCAGUUCACUGGACCGCAAUUGACACUGAUGCUCGAAAGCGUGGGUAUCAAACAGGAUUAGAUACCCCUGUAGUC
rnacentral:rRNA from 1 species